rnacentral:pre_miRNA from 1 species
CAAAUACUCCCUCCGUCCGGAAAUACUUGUCAUCAAAAUGGAUAAAACGAGAUGUAUGUAGACGUAUUUUAGUUCUAAAUACAUCCCUUUUUAUCCAUUUUGAUGACCAGUAUUUUGGGACGGAGGGAGUACUUG